CAAAGUCAAAGUACGCUCUAUAGAUCUCAGCCUUAAAUAUAAUUUAAACAUGAGCAACAAAUUGUCAACAUCGGUGAGUCUACACUAUGGAACAUUUUAUAUUAUUUGUAACAAGAAGUAUGUGAAUAAAAUGAACAUGUACUUCUAGGACAAUCAUAAAGAUAAUAUAAGUGUUAUAACACUAAAAUUGCCUAGCAAAGAAUGAAUAUAAUACACCAAAAGAAAAAAUCAGAUAAACAAAAAAGUAGGUUAAGAUGGUGGCCUUGUGGCUUAUUUAGAAUAGAAUGAAUGUUGAUAAUAUGUGUAAUAAUAUAACAUGUUACAUAGUCUGGACUCCAUAACGUUUUGUAUCUUAUUUAACAUUAGGACUACGCACACAUUCAACCAACCAUCUUCUAAACUUUGCCAUUCGCUCAAAGAUGAAUUAUUACAAUCACGCCGUAAGUAGGUAACUUCAAAUGUAUAAGGGCGUUAAUCGUUUUAGUCCCGCAAGCGAAUGCGUUACUGUGCUACGCUAUAGCCAAUAUACAAUUAAAUUCAAAUACUCAUCUUAUUAUCAUCUCACCUUCCCCUUUUUGAAUUCGGUUAUAAUGUGGGAUAUCCCACUUUUGAAAUUAAAUGAAAGAUAGUUUAGUAAGAGAAGUGUGAAAUUAAUUAAAAAUAAUCUAGUAGAUAUGGAAAACAAUAAAAGUUCCGGUAUAAUAGUUUCAGUAUAUUAUUAUAAUAUCUACUUGUAAAGGCAAGUUAUCGCUAAAAGAUCACUAUGAAGUUGCGAAAUUCAAAGUUGACAAGUGGUUGAUCGAACGUGAGCAUAAUAUUAUCUUCAUUGGUAAAAAAUAAAUUAACUCUGUCCAACAUAAGUACAAAAUUAUCAAUAUCUCCAUCAUAGCAUCUAUUUUGUCAGACUUUAUUACUCCUUAACUUUGUCCGCAGAUGAACGAUUUUUUUCCGACGAAGUGCGAUGCGACACGAUUUGAAACGAAGCUGUAGGCAUAUAUUAAGUCCUUUGAAACAGGUCCAUAUUUUUAUUUUUAUUAGUUAUUUAGUAUUGAAUAAAAAAGUCAUUAAUUAAUUGAAUUUAGAAACUUGAAAAUAUCUUAAAGCGUCCAAAUCGCCUCGCUUCGCACAAGUUACAAGAUUUUAAAUCGUUCACGUGUAAAUGUAAUGUUAGUGUUGGGGUGUUGUUCAAAAUCGGUGGAAUAUGAAAGGUGUUUCCUUUAGCAUACCGAUGCAUUCGUAGGCAGUAUGCCUUUACGACUUAGGUUGAGAUCUAUAGCUUUAACUUAACUCUGACUUAAGACACUGUUAAAACGAGACAGCGUUAUAUCGCUGAUAUAAAUCUGUAUCUUUUUAACUGAUACUUAGGUCUGAGCAAAGUCAAAGUACGCUCUAUAGAUCUCAGCCUUAGACGCAAAGGCGUUAAUAAUUUCUCGACCGCGUGCAAAUGUGCCGGUGUGAUAAAGGCGUAAACAACAGUGAUGUGUGAUAAGAUAAAUGCACUAAUACUAACAACCUUUUGAACGUCUAGUGACUCGAAUGAAAACGAUCACAUAAUAUUGUAUUAACCGGUCUCUUCCGAUUAGUACGAAGCUACAAUCGAACGAAUAGAGCGAAGUGAAGGCGAGUACCGAGUGCCGCACUUGAAAUUCUUCCGAUGUGAUUCUUUUGUACGUUAAGUUUUAAUAAGUUCAUACCCAUAGUUUGUGCAAGACGCACACAUGUGGAAAAAUGUCAAGAACCGACAUCGCGAGUCUUAAAAUCCUACAAUAAUGUACAAAAGUCUCUGAACAAGAAUUGUCAAUGAUAUGAUUUUAAAAUCUAUCUGAACUUAGAAAAAAAUAAUUAUACAGCGCCGGUAGUAGUAAAAUUUGUAUCGUAUAAAACUCCAGGUCGACCACGAAUUAACCCUAAAAGUAAUAAUUCAAUAUACCCUUUUUUCAUGAUUUGGCUCAAAACGUAUCAAACCCCGAAGACGUUACAGAGAGACGUAUCACAAUCGCGCUAGUAACAUUAAAUUAAAUACAACAGCACCUAUAGUUUGAUAUACAUAAUAAUAAUAAUAUAAUAUAAUGAAUAAAAAAUCAUAUUAUAUAAUUCGAAUGGAGAGGACAAAUUAAGCGUAGUAACAACUAUGCAAAUGGUCCAUUUAAUUUGUAGUAAGUAAUAUAAAAGUUUUUAGUAAAUAUCACUAAUUACUCCGCCGAGACAACUAACGCUUCACAACGAGGGCACGAGGCGAGAGGCCGGCUCCAAACGACCAUGCACUCUUUGCUCGGGGGCAAAAAUACGGGCAACAUCAUCAAAGACAAAUUUCUUAAGAAAUAAUGAAUCUAAACCUUGAACAAUUUAAUUUUAUCAAUAUCUCUGCCCAUAUUAUAAAUGUGAAAGUGUGUUUGUGUAAUUGGUUUGUCCUUCAAUCACGUCGCAACCGAAGCAACGGAUCAACGUGUUUUUUUGCAUGGCUAUAGACCUGGGACGUGACAAGGCUACUUUUUACCUCGGAAAAUCGGAGUCUCCACGGGAUUUAAAAAAAAUUCAAUCCACGCGCAAAAAGUCGCAGGCAUCAGCUUGUAAAUAAUAAAUUAAAAUAUAAUAAACAAUCUGAGUUAAAGAGAACCCAAAAAAGCAUGCCCUAAGCAAAAAGUGCAUCAACCUCCGCCUAUGACUAGUUAUAAAAAACAUAGCUUCCGACCAAAACCAUCCUACGUCACCGAUAGACUAAGACCGAUAUUCCUGACAAGAUUCCAAAGAACCAUAGACACUUUCCUAAUAGCUUAACCUUGCAAAAUUCUAAAAGAAACGACCAGGUUCCUGAUUUUCUAUCAUAUCACUUUGACGUCUUUGACAAUGCAAGGGUUAGCAAGUCUGAUAUUCCUUUUUCAAUGCCAAUUUCAGUGGUUUCAACGCAAUGCAUACAUGUUGCGUACCCUAAAAGCCGUGUUAGUAUUACAUCUUGCAGUGUGUAUUUACGCACCAAAGAACUGGCACACUAUAUUUCUAUAGUAUUCGACUUCUGUGAUUAUACACAACAAGGAAACACUACUUUUAGAGCAUAAUAAAGCAAUUUGUGAUGGACUUGACAAUUAUUCUGGUAUUGCCAAAGACGUCAAAAAAAUUGAAUGAGACAGCAAAUAAGCUCCCUGGGCGUUCAUGUUUCCGUUUCACUCAACUAUCAUGUACGGACGCCAUUCGACCAAUCAGAGAUGAUCGCUAGACAUGCGACGCAGUGCACGCCCACAGUUACAACACUCACACAUACAUUUGUACUACGCCAGUAUGCUACCCGCUACACUAACGAAGGGGGCUCGCUGUCGACCAACUCUCGAAAAAAAAAUUUAACAGCUAAUAACAACUAAUAUAAAAUGCAUCUUACGUCGCCACAAAUUUUUGGAACCGACCACUUUAACGACGACAGAGCUUUCAAUGCAAGUUCUUGAGUAAACUAACUCGGAACUAAAGUUGGCAUUACUCUGUUAAGUUACCUAUAGAAGUUCAUACAGAUUAAGGCCAACUAAAGCGGCAACUGUUUUCGCUCGAAAACUUUCACUAAAGGCUCAGAAUACUGAA